GCGAACUGUUUGUCAAGACGACAACAGAGAUGUAACCAUAGAGGAAGAUUGGCUCACGAAAUCGCACAGAAGGAUGCUACGAUGAGACACCCCAAAGGAAGAAUGGGCCGUGGUGUCGCUUUCUUUGUCUGCCAAAGCUGUACGGCCGACCGGCGGCUGGUCGGAU